UAUGGGGUUCAAUUGGUAUAAAGUUUCAAUUAUGUAAGAUGAACAAGUUCUACAGAUCUAGUUUACAACAUAGUGCCUAUAGUUAACAAUACUCUGUUGCACACUUA